GGCUCUGUAGUGUAGCGGUUAUCACGGCGGAUUCUGAUUCACGUGUGUCGUCGAGCAUUCCGUCAACCCAGGUUCGAGCCCUGGCAGGGCCU